rnacentral:rRNA from 1 species
AGAAUCAACGCUGGCGGCGUGCCUCAGACAUGCAAGUCGAACGCGAAAGUUCCCUUCGGGGGGCAAGUAGAGUGGCGCACGGGUGAGUAACACGUAGGUAAUCUACCUUUGGAUGGGGAAUAACAAUCGGAAACGGUUGCUAAUACCGCAUAAUGCAGCGGCACCUAAUGGUGACAGUUGUUAAAGCGGGGGAUCGAAAGACCUCGCGUCUGAAGAGGAGCCUGCGGCGGAUUAGCUAGUUGGUAGGGUAACGGCCUACCAAGGCUACGAUCCGU